GGCAUUCUGGCUUGGUGUGCUUCUGAGUGUCCCAGUUAAGAGUGCUGUACAUCUGGAGCUACACAUUCUUGGAAUAGAGCCAUGAGGAUUGAAGAUACAAAUGGAGGAAGAAUUGGAGGAGGAGUCCAGUGAUAGCUUUCCAAGCUCUGGUGCCUCUCCUCCAUGCUGUUCAUCCUGACCUGCUGAUGGCAUCCAGAAAGACUUCCAGGUCUGUUACCCAUCUCUGCUAAAAGGCAGGAGCUCAGACAGAAGCCUGCUCUGAAGAAGGCAAUGAAACUAUAUGGGCUAUGGUUUGAGAAGAGAAGAAAAGCCCAAGGCAGGUAGGAAAGAAGAGGCCUUUACCGGAAGACAGUGGCAAACUUGGUGGUUAUAUGCUGUCAUCACUUGGUAGUUUAAAGAGGAUGUUUGGGAAACAACUAGUGCUGUUAUAGACUUUUACAAAGGCUAUUGCUCAUCCUGCCAACUUCCUGUACUCAAUGAUGUCCAUGCUCUGAGCUUCAAGACUGGAGUAUCCAAUUCUCACAGGGCUUCCAUCAAUGAAUGUCCUGGGCAAACCCAGGAACACAGAAAGCUGGCUAGAGCAGCCUUUGACGAUGGCAAGGAGAAAGCUGUACCCACUCGUGAAAUAAAUGGACCUGGACCCCACAGCCCUUUGUGGUAGUGUCUUGGCAGCUGAACAAAGGCAGCAGCAUUUCUACAUCCAGUUUGUAAAGCCUCAGAAGUUGUGGGUUCCAACUUUCCCCCCAAGAAACCCAUGUCGACUAUAAUGAGUGCAUUUUCGAUGUUGUGCUGAAAGCUGGCAACAGAUGAAGCGAGAACAUAAAAGUCUUAUGUCCAAGGCAAAUAUUUCCUUUACAAAACCUAAGAAUGAAGUGGCUUUCAUAAUCAAUUUUAAGAUCAAAUGCCUGGGCUGAAGUACCUGGUUCUGGCACUGGCUAACUAUUUAAUUUGGGACAAUUAAUUUACCUCUGUGUGCUUGCUUUCUCAACUGAAAUCUGGGGCUAAUACCUGCUCAAGUUUCCCUGGAAAAUGAAUGAGAUAAUGAAGGUGCUUUGUCAGUUCUAAAUAUCAUAUAAACAUUAACAAACAUGCAAGUACAACUUUCCUGUGCCCGAUGAAGCACCUCACUUUAUACAGAAGUGACUGCCCCCCACAAGAAAUGACAAUAAAC
rnacentral:lncRNA from 1 species